rnacentral:lncRNA from 1 species
CCAAUAUUUCUUUUCGGAAAAAAAGUAGACUUCACCAUCUAGAAGAGGAGGUGGUCAGUGCCAAAGUUCAAGUCGACUAAGCGCAUCCAUGCACCAACGUUGUAAAAUUACCUAAUUGGUUUCUUCAACAGUGAGAUUUAUAGCUUUUAAGAGGGACAGAGGAUACCAAGGGGUCGAUAGUAUAUCAGAAGAAACACGAAGGAAAGACCGACAAAAUACAACACAGAAAACCGAGGACUGAUCAAACGAACCAUAAUAAAAGCC